UACGUAGGGUGCGAGCGUUAAUCGGAAUUACUGGGCGUAAAGCGUGCGCAGGCGGUUUGCUAAGACAGGUGUGAAAUCCCCGGGCUUAACCUGGGAACUGCGCUUGUGACUGUCAGGCUAGAGUACGGUAGAGGGGGUGGAAUUCCUGGUGUAGCAGUGAAAUGCGUAGAUAUCAGGAGGAACACCGAUGGCGAAGGCAGCCCCCUGGGCCUGUACUGACGCUCAUGCACGAAAGCGUGGGGAGCAAACAGGAUUAGAUACCCGGGUAGU
rnacentral:rRNA from 1 species